rnacentral:rRNA from 1 species
UGGGGAAUUUUGGACAAUGGGCGAAAGCCUGAUCCAGCAAUGCCGCGUGUGUGAAGAAGGCCUUCGGGUUGUAAAGCACUUUUGUCCGGAAAGAAAUCCUUGGCUCUAAUACAGUCGGGGGAUGACGGUACCGGAAGAAUAAGCACCGGCUAACUACGUGCCAGCAGCCGCGGUAAUACGUAGGGUGCAAGCGUUAAUCGGAAUUACUGGGCGUAAAGCGUGCGCAGGCGGUUUGCUAAGACCGAUGUGAAAUCCCCGGGCUCAACCUGGGAACUGCAUUGGUGACUGGCAGGCUAGAGUAUGGCAGAGGGGGGUAGAAUUCCACGUGUAGCAGUGAAAUGCGUAGAGAUGUGGAGAAUACCGAUGGCGAAGGCAGCCCCCUGGGCCAAUACUGACGCUCAUGCACGAAAGCGUGGGGAGCAAACAGGAUUAGAUACCCUGGUAGUCCACGCCCUAAACGAUGUCAACUAGUUGUGGGGAUUCAUUCCUUAGUAACGUAGCUAACGCGUGAAGUUGACCGCCUGGGGAGUAC